rnacentral:other from 1 species
GGUUUCCUGAAAUGUACGACAUUGAUUGUAAGAAUUAUCCAACAUUGAAGUACCGGGAUCACCGGGUCAUCGAUGCGGCUGCCGGGCCGGCUCCGACCGGAAGGCAAAAGCAGCGAGCAGGGAUCCCACCUAACGCGGUUAGGGUACUUUGAACAAUCAAAUCGGCAUUUCGGGGCCCUA